UGAGAGUUUAUAUUUCAAUUGGAUUUCAGGAAAUUCAGCCUGAUUUUAAUAUCAAACAGAAAAUAGAAAAAAUCCUCACCGAGGUAGAAGCAGAUCAAAAACGAGCGAGAACCAUGGAUACAGAUGAUUUCUUGGUGAUAUUACACGCAUUCAACAAUGAAGGGAUACAUUUCUCUUAACCCCGACUUAGUGAUAAUUGUAUAUACAAAUAAGUUUAUAUGUACAUUAAAACAUUUUUACCUUAAAAUAAAAUAUCUUUGGAAUCCUUA